rnacentral:rRNA from 1 species
GACGAACGCUGGCGGCGUGCUUAACACAUGCAAGUCGAACGGAAAGGCCUUUUCGGAGGUACUCGAGUGGCGAACGGGUGAGUAACACGUGGGUGAUCUGCCCUGCACUCUGGGAUAAGCCUGGGAAACUGGGUCUAAUACCGGAUAGGACCGCACUUUAGUGUGUGUGGUGGAAAGUUUUUUCGGUGUAGGAUGAGCCCGCGGCCUAUCAGCUUGUUGGUGGGGUAAUGGCCUACCAAGGCGGCGACGGGUAGCCGGACUGAGAGGUUGGUCGGCGACAUUGGGACUGAGAGACGGCCCAGACUCCGACGGGAGGCAGCAGUGGGGAAUAUUGCACAAUGGGCGCAAGCCUGAUGCAGCGACGCCGCGUGGGGGAUGACGGCCUUCGGGUUGGAAACUCCUUUCGCCAGGGACGAAGCGUUUUGUGACGGUACCUGGAGAAGAAGCACCGGCUAACUACGUG